rnacentral:piRNA from 1 species
CACAAAUGAUUCAGGCUUCUCAAGGA